rnacentral:rRNA from 1 species
GAGAUGUUGGGUUAAGUCCCGUAACGAGCGCAACCCUUGUCCUUAGUUACCAGCACGUUAUGGUGGGCACUCUAAGGAGACUGCCGGUGACAAACCGGAGGAAGGUGGGGAUGACGUCAAGUCAUCAUGGCCCUUACGGCCUGGGCUACACACGUGCUACAAUGGUCGGUACAAAGGGUUGCCAAGGCCGUGAGGUGGAGCUAAUCCCAUAAAACCGAUCGUAGUCCGGAUCGCAGUCUGCAACUCGACUGCGUGAAGUCGGAAUCGCUAGUAAUCGUGAAUCAGAAUGUCACGGUGAAUACGUUCCCGGGCCUU